GGGGGCAAGCGUUGUUCGGAAUUACUGGGCGUAAAGGGCUCGUAGGUGGCCAACUAAGGCAGACGUGAAAUCCCUCGGCUUAACCGGGGAACUGCGUCUGAUACUGGAUGGCUUGAGUUUGGGAGAGGGAUGCGGAAUUCCAGGUGUAGCGGUGAAAUGCGUAGAUAUCGCUUGGAACGCCAAUGGUGAAAACAGGUUGCUGGGGGUGUGCUGACGCUGAGACACGAAAGCCAGGGGAGCGAACGGG
rnacentral:rRNA from 1 species